AAGGUGUCCUUGCCUGGACGAGGGUGCCCAGCCAACUGCCACGAUGUUCCCUGCACUUGGGUGUGGACCAUCUUCUUCUUCUCCCUGAGCCGACUGAGAUGCAAGGUCUGACCCCACAAGGCCAGGCCGAUGUUCCUGUGUGAUCACUAAGAACCAGCUUCUCAACCACCAUCAGGACCCUGGAUCCUCCUGGGCUGCUGCCUGUUCUCCUGUGGCCCACCUGUGACCAGGAAGGUCUCUUUCCUUCCUAUUGUCUCCAUCUGUUU
rnacentral:sRNA from 1 species